rnacentral:rRNA from 1 species
GUGCCAGCAGCCGCGGUAAUACGUAGGGUGCGAGCGUUAAUCGGAAUUACUGGGCGUAAAGCGUGCGCAGGCGGCUUUGCAAGACAGAGGUGAAAUCCCCGGGCUCAACCUGGGAACUGCCUUUGUGACUGCAAGGCUAGAGUACGGCAGAGGGGGAUGGAAUUCCGCGUGUAGCAGUGAAAUGCGUGGAUAUGCGGAGGAACACCGAUGGCGAAGGCAAUCCCCUGGGCCUGUACUGACGCUCAUGCACGAAAGCGUGGGGAGCAAACAGGAUUAGAUA